AGUAAAGUCGUGGAUGCUAGCAUGGGAAAAUGAAGGUGGUGAGGGGUAAGAGGAAAGACUGGGGGGAGAGCGGGCGGAGGUGGUUGUUGAGGUAUGCUUUGGAAUCCCUGGGCUCAACCUGGGAAUGGAAGUGGCGACGGGAGAGCUAGAGUGGGAGAGAGGAGGGUGGAAUGUCCGGUGUAGCGGGGAAAUGCGUAGAGAUCGGUAGGGACAGCAGUGGCGAAGGCGGCCAUCUGGAUCAACACUGACGCUGAGGCACGAAAGCGUGGGGAGCAAACAGGAUUAGAUACCCGAGUAGUC
rnacentral:rRNA from 1 species